rnacentral:lncRNA from 1 species
CAAGGAGGUACAACUCAGACUUCCUGUGAGGGGAGUGGGGGCUCAGCCGUGGGUGAGUUAUCAUCUAAUCACACGUGUUGAGAAGCUGAGGUGCUGACGACUGUGAAGCCUCUCCUUCAAGACGGGGUUUCUUUUAGGGCAGCAUUAUUACUAAUACCUUCACUCUACAGCUUUUUGCAGUCCUGGGCGCCACGGUGAGCAAACACAUUUCCUGGGCAGCGUGGAAGGCACAUAGCAGAUAGCUAGCAGUUGUGUGCAAAAUGGACUGUGAAAUACACCAUCUUGGAACAGGCACAUAACUGGUCUAAGCAGUCUCCACAGACUGAAGCUGCUAGUCACUGAACCAGGACUUAAGGGCCCGCCUCUGUGCUCAAACAUCCCCCACAAUUACAGAUUAAAAACAACCCUUCCUUCAUGGCUGCAAGUGCAGGGAAACACAGAGUUGCCUGAAGAUCUGAAUGCGGCAUGAAACGUUCUCAGAGUUCAAGGUCUUGGAACAGAUCGUUCAUGAAGCCAGUCUUAUGAUUCACAGUCCUGGGUUCACUCUGUGGUCAAACCAGAAAAAAAUUAGAAGGAAGCCAGGUAUCUGGAAUGAAUUAACUCCCCCUCCCUUCCUCCCGCUUGCCCUCCUUCCCUCUUCUCCUUUCCCUUUCUCUUCCUUUUUCUCUCUCUCCCUCUCUCCUCUUUCUCUUUCUAAUUAUGAGGAGUACUGGAAAUUCAAACAGCUGGACCUUACAAUCAAACCUCUGUAUCUGAAUUUUCCACACCAAUGGUUCCAACGAUAAGGAACAAAAAUCUUUGGGAAGAGCAUCAGGACUGAAGAUGGAAGAAUCUCUACUUGUCCUCAUCCCCGAGGCAUGGCAUUCCCAGGUUCCAGCUGUGACCUCCUCCCUGCAGAUGCAGGCAGAAGAUGGUGUUAUGACAGAGGCGUUUUGCAGUGAUAAUGGGACCAGGUUCAUCUGGAGUUAGUGCUGCCCCUUCCUAAAGGGUUUCUGUUGCUGCGAACAGACAUCAUGACCACAGAAGCACUUAGAAAGGAAACGUUUCAUUUGGGUGGCUUACAGCUCAGAGGUUCAGUCCAUUAUCAUCAUGGUGGGACAUGGCAGCAUGCAGGCAUCAUGGAGGCAGACACGGUGCUGGAGAAGGAACUGAGAGUCCUACAUCUUGAUCCACAGAUGCUGUGUUUACAGGCAUGUGCAGCCAUGAUCAGCUUUUUACGUGGGUGUUGGGGAGUCAAACUGGAGUCCUCAUGUUUGUAGAGCAAAUAAUUAUUUGCUGAAAACCGUGUACAAGUUUCCAGCUUUUUAAAGAUUUCAGUUCAGUAGUGGUAUGGGUUUUACCCCUUUACUUAGCCUUCAUUCUUUUGCUUUUCAAAGUUUUACUGAGGCAUUUUUGACAAGCAAUAAACUGAGCAUACUCAAAGUCUGCAGUCAGCCCUCCGUGUCUGUAGGCUUUGUAAAUUCAAACCACUAUGAAUUGGAAAUAUUUUUUAAUUGCGCCUAUGCUGAAUUCGUACCGACCCUGUCCCCUUGUGAUCGUUCCCUAAACAAGACAUUUCCACUAAUGCUAUUUACAUAACAUUUACAAUACAUUAGGCAUUAUGAUUAUGAUUAGAGGUGGGUUCAAGAACAAGGAAAGAGAUGGCUAAAUUAUAUGCAAGUAGAACAACAUGUUAUAAAUGUCUUAAACAUUUGCAGGCUUUGGUAUCCAUUGGGGGUUUCUGGAACCAACCACCUGUGGCUAGUGAGGGACAACUGCCAUUCAACAAGUGUUUGCAUACGUCUACAUCAAGAAACCACUAGUUCCAUUAAGAUAAUGAGCUUACUUGUUAC